GACGAACGCUGGCGGCGUGCUUAACACAUGCAAGUCGAACGGUGAAGCGCCUUCCUUUUUGGUGGGUGUGGAUGAGUGGCGAACGGGUGAGUAACACGUGAGUAACCUGCCCCCUUCUCCUGGAUAACCGCAUGAAAGUGUGGCUAAUACGGGAUAUUCUGGGUCUGUCGCAUGAUGGGUCUGGGAAAGAUAUUGUUUCGGUGGGGGAUGGGCUCGCGGCCUAUCAGCUGGUUGGUGGGGUGAUGGCCUACCAAGGCGGUGACGGGUAGCCGGCCUGAGAGGGUGGACGGUCACACUGGGACUGAGACACGGCCCAGACUCCUACGGGAGGCAGCAGUGGGGAAUAUUGCACAAUGGGCGCAAGCCUGAUGCAGCGACGCCGCGUGAGGGAUGGAGGCCUGCGGGUUGUGAACCUCUUUCGCCAGUGAAGCAGGCCUGCCUCGUUUGUGGGUGGGUUGACGGUAGCUGGAAAAGAAGCGCCGGCUAACUACGUG
rnacentral:rRNA from 1 species